UACGAAGGGGGCUAGCGUUGCUCGGAAUCACUGGGCGUAAAGGGUGCGUAGGCGGGUCUUUAAGUCAGGGGUGAAAUCCUGGAGCUCAACUCCAGAACUGCCUUUGAUACUGGGAGUCUUGAGUCGGGAGAGGUGAGUGGAACUGCGAGUGUAGAGGUGAAAUUCGUAGAUAUUCGAAGAACACCAGUGGCGAAGGCGGCUCACUGGCUCGGUACUGACGCUGAGGUGCGAAAGCGUGGGGAGCAAACAGG
rnacentral:rRNA from 1 species